rnacentral:rRNA from 1 species
UGGGUAACCUGCCUCAAAGAGGGGAAUAGCCUCCCGAAAGGGAGAUUAAUACCGCAUAAUAUGUUUAAGUCGCAUGACUUUAACAUCAAAGGAUUUUCUUUUAGAAAUUCCACUUUGAGAUGGACCCGCGGUGCAUUAGCUAGUUGGUGAGGUAACGGCUCACCAAGGCAACGAUGCGUAGCCGACCUGAGAGGGUGAUCGGCCACAUUGGGACUGAGACACGGCCCAGACUCCGUAGGGAGG